UGGUCUUCUCUUCCCGUUGCUCAGUUUUCACAGCUAGAGACAUUAACUCACGCAGGUAGGUCCUGCCCCCGUGCAGGUAGCAAGGGAUACAGCUUUUGCAUUCGUUCAGAGUGACGUAACUGUACAACAGGUUUUAUGAGGGUUGCAGAGCUGAGCCUUUGCUGAGUUUUCCAGCUCCUACACUUCAUCCUUUCCUGGGACACGCUUAUUUCUCUGGGACUAGGACACUUGGAUUCCCUCACUCAGUGCUUUUCGGAGGCUGAACACAAACAGGCCAAGAACUAUUUCCUAAGAAGAGCUGCUUCCCAGGGAGGCGAGGUGGCCCCCAUCGCCCACGGGCAGAGCCGGGGGUCCGGGCCCAGGCUCGGCUGUCAGCUGGUCUACCUGAGGACCGUGCGGCCCCCGGGGAGGACACAGGAGUGUGAUGACUGGUUGGACUUAAAGGUGUUAGGACGGAUGAAGAGGAAAGGGUUGACAUUUAAGGCUGUUGCAGCUGCAGCG
ensembl:lncRNA